rnacentral:rRNA from 1 species
AGGGUUUGAUCAUGGCUCAGGACGAACGCUGGCGGCAUGCCUAACACAUGCAAGUCGAACGAGAAAGUUCCUUCGGGAGCAAUUAAAGUGGCGCACGGGUGAGUAACGCGUAGACAAUCUGCCCUUCAGUCUGGGACAACUUUUCGAGAGGAGAGCUAAUACCGGAUAACAAUGCAUGACACAAGUUGUAUAUUUGAAAGCUUUAUGUGCUGAAGGAGGGGUCUGCGUCCCAUUAGCUAGUUGGUAAGGUAAAGGCUUACCAAGGCAACGAUGGGUAGCGGGUUUGAGAGGACGAUCCGCCACACUGGAACUGAGACACGGUCCAGACUCCUACGGGAGGCAGCAGUGGGGAAUAUUGCACAAUGGAGGAAACUCUGAUGCAGCAAUGUCGCGUGAGUGAAGAAGGCCCUUGGGUCGUAAAGCUCUUUUAUGGGGGAAGAUGAUGACGGUACCCCAAGAAUAAGCACCGGCUAACUAUGUGCCAGCAGCCGCGGUAAUACAUAGGGUGCGAGCGUUGUUCGGAAUUACUGGGCGUAAAGGGCGCGCAGGCGGAAUAGUAAGUCGGAGGUGAAAGCCCGGGGCUCAACCCCGGAGGGUCUUUCGAAACUACUAAUCUAGAGAGGGUCAGGGGCCG